rnacentral:rRNA from 1 species
AGAGUUUGAUCCUGGCUCAGAGCGAACGUUAGCGGCGGGCUUAACACAUGCAAGUCGAACGAGAAAACGUCCUUCGGGGCGUGAGUAAAGUGGCGCACGGGUGAGUAACACGUGAGUAACCUACCUUCUGGCGCGGGACAACAGCUCGAAAGGGCUGCUAAUACCGCAUACGUCGGUGACGGCUUUGGCUGUUACCGGGAAAGGAUGGCCUCUCCUUGGAAGCUAUCGCUGGAAGAUGGGCUCGCGGCCCAUCAGCUUGUUGGUGAGGUAACGGCUCACCAAGGCUAAGACGGGUAGCUGGUCUGAGAGGAUGAUCAGCCACACUGGGACUGAGACACGGCCCAGACUCCUACGGGAGGCAGCAGUGGGGAAUAUUGGACAAUGGGCGCAAGCCUGAUCCAGCCACGCCGCGUGUGUGAUGAAGGCUUUCGAGUCGUAAAGCACUGUGGAGAGGGACGAAAUGUAACGGGAACAAUACCUCGUUGCCUUGACGGUACCUCUUUAGCAAGCACCGGCUAACUCCGUGCCAGCAGCCGCGGUAAUACGGAGGGUGCAAACGUUGCUCGGAAUCAUUGGGCGUAAAGCGCGUGUAGGCGGCUCAUCAAGUCGAGUGUGAAAGCCCUGGGCUCAACCCAGGAAGUGCGCUCGAGACUGCUGAGCUCGAGUACGGGAGAGGGUAACGGAAUUCCCGGUGUAGAGGUGAAAUUCGUAGAUAUCGGGAGGAACACCAGUGGCGAAGGCGGUUACCUGGACCGAUACUGACGCUGAGACGCGAAAGCGUGGGUAGCAAACAGGAUUAGAUACCCUGGUAGUCCACGCCGUAAACGAUGAGUGCUAGGUGUCGCGGGUAUUGACCCCUGCGGUGCCGAAGUUAACGCAUUAAGCACUCCGCCUGGGGAGUACGGCCGCAAGGCUAAAACUCAAA